rnacentral:tRNA from 1 species
GGGCUACAGCGAACAGGGGGAGGGAGAUAACUCUUAAUCAGUAGGUUCGAGGUUCGAGUCCUCGGCGGCCCACCA